rnacentral:rRNA from 1 species
GAUGAACGCUGGCGGCGUGCCUAAUACAUGCAAGUCGAGCGAACAGACGAGGAGCUUGCUCCUCUGACGUUAGCGGCGCACGGGUGAGUAACACGUGGAUAACCUACCUAUAAGACUGGGAUAACUUCGGGAAACCGGAGCUAAUACCGUAUAAUAUAUUGAACCGCAUGGUUCAAUAGUGAAAGACGGUUUUGCUGUCACUUAUAGAUGGAUCCGCGCCGGAUUAGCUAGUUGGUAAGGUAACGGCUUACCAAGGCAACGAUGCGUAGCCGACCUGAGAGGGUGAUCGGCCACACUGGAACUGAGACACGGUACAGACUCAUACGGGAGGCAGCAGGAGGGAAUCUUGCGCAAUGGGCGAAAGAUUGACGGAGAAACGCGGCGUGAGUGAGGAAGGUCUUCGGAUGGUAAAACACUGUUAUUAGGGAAGAACAAAUGUGUAAGUAACUAUGCACGUCUUGAAGGUACAUAAUCAGAAAGCCACGGCUAACUAAGUG